rnacentral:rRNA from 1 species
CAGUAGCCGCGGGAAUACGUAGGGUGCAAGCGUUAAUCGGAAUUACUGGGCGUAAAGCGUGCGCAGGCGGUUUGUUAAGACAGAUGUGAAAUCCCCGGGCUCAACCUGGGAACUGCAUUUGUGACUGGCAGGCUAGAGUAUGGCAGAGGGGGGUGGAAUUCCGCGUGUAGCAGUGAAAUGCGUAGAUAUGCGGAGGAACACCGAUGGCGAAGGCAGCCCCCUGGGCCAAUACUGACGCUCAUGCACGAAAGCGUGGGGAGCAAACAGGAUUAGAUACCCCUGUAGUCCCUGUCUCUUAUAC